AUUGAACGCUGGCGGCAGGCCUAACACAUGCAAGUCGAGCGGAUGAAGGGAGCUUGCUCCUGGAUUCAGCGGCGGACGGGUGAGUAAUGCCUAGGAAUCUGCCUGGUAGUGGGGGAUAACGUCCGGAAACGGGCGCUAAUACCGCAUACGUCCUGAGGGAGAAAGUGGGGGAUCUUCGGACCUCACGCUAUCAGAUGAGCCUAGGUCGGAUUAGCUAGUUGGUGGGGUAAAGGCCUACCAAGGCGACGAUCCGUAACUGGUCUGAGAGGAUGAUCAGUCACCCUGGAAUGGAGAAACGGCCCAAACCCCUACGGGGGGACGGGGGGGGGAAAUUUGGACAAGGGGGGAAAGCCUUAACCAGCCAUGCCGGGGGUGUGAAGAAGGGUUUGGGAUUGUAAAGCCCUUUAAGUUGGGAGGAAGGGAAGUAAGUUAAUACCUUGGUGUUUUGACUUUACCAACAAAAUAAGCACCGGCUAACUUCGU
rnacentral:rRNA from 1 species